GAUGAACGCUGGCGGCGUGCUUAACACAUGCAAGUCGAAUGUAGUUUACUACAUGGCGGACGGGUGAGUAACGCGUGAGCAAUCUGCCCAUAUCAGGGGGAUAACAGUUGGAAACGACUGAUAAUACCGCAUAACAUCAUAGGAAGGCAUCUUCUCUUGAUCAAAGAUUUAUCGGAUAUGGAUGAGCUCGCGUCUGAUUAGCUAGUUGGUGAGGUAACGGCUCACCAAGGCGACGAUCAGUAGCCGACCUGAGAGGGUGAUCGGCCACAUUGGGACUGAGACACGGCCCAA
rnacentral:rRNA from 1 species